CCCAAUUGCAAUAGCGCUUUACUAAUACCCUCUUGACCUUUUACCCCUACAUCCAACGGUCACUCUUUCUUCUUCUGAAAAGCAGGAACUCAUCUCACCCGUCCGAUCAUUCCAUAAUUAGCCCCUCUCUCUUNUCUUUCCAACCUAUACUUCACUUCCUCUCUUUCUUUCCUUCUUUGGUAUACCGCUCUCUACUGUACUAAAAAGCGGUUUUCCGGUCACAACAGAUCGGGUCUCUCGGUUUCGUC
rnacentral:misc_RNA from 1 species